rnacentral:rRNA from 1 species
CUGUUGCCUCGGCCGGGGUCACUCCCCGGGUGCGUCGCAGCCCCGGAACCAGGCGCCCGCCGGAGGAACCAACCAAACUCUUUCUGUAGUCCCCUCGCGGACGUAUUUCUUUACAGCUCUGAGCAAAAAUUCAAAAUGAAUCAAAACUUUCAACAACGGAUCUCUUGGUUCUGGCAUCGAUGAAGAACGCAGCGAAAUGCGAUAAGUAAUGUGAAUUGCAGAAUUCAGUGAAUCAUCGAAUCUUUGAACGCACAUUGCGCCCGCCAGUAUUCUGGCGGGCAUGCCUGUCCGCAGCGUCAUUUCAACCCUCGAACCCCUCCGGGGGAUCGGCGUUGGGGAUCGGGACCCCUCACACGGGCGCCGGCCCCUAAAUACAGUGGCGGUCUCGCCGAGCCUCUCCUGCGCAGUAGUUUGCACAACUCGCACCGGGAGCGCGGCGCGUCCACGUCCGUAAAACACCCAACUUUCUGAAAUGUUGACUCGGAUCAGGUAGGAAUACCCGU